rnacentral:rRNA from 1 species
AACGCUGAGAACUGGUGCUUGCACCGGUUCAAGGAGUUGCGAACGGGUGAGUAACGCGUAGGUAACCUACCUCAUAGCGGGGGAUAACUAUUGGAAACGAUAGCUAAUACCGCAUAAGAGAGACUAACGCAUGUUAGUAAUUUAAAAGGGGCAAUUGCUCCACUAUGAGAUGGACCUGCGUUGUAUUAGCUAGUUGGUGAGGUAAAGGCUCACCAAGGCGACGAUACAUAGCCGACCUGAGAGGGUGAUCGGCCACACUGGGACUGAGACACGGCCCAGACUCCUACGGGAGGCAGCAGUAGGGAAUCUUCGGCAAUGGGGGCAACCCUGACCGAGCAACGCCGCGUGAGUGAAGAAGGUUUUCGGAUCGUAAAGCUCUGUUGUUAGAGAAGAAUGAUGGUGGGAGUGGAAAAUCCACCAAGUGACGGUAACUAACCAGAAGGGGACGGCUAACUACGUGCCAGCAGCCGCGGUAAUACGUAGGUCCCGAGCGUUGUCCGGAUUUAUUGGGCGUAAAGCGAGCGCAAGCGGUUUUUUAAGUCUGAAGUUAAAGGCAUUGGCUCAACCAAUGUACGCUUUGGAAACUGGAGAACUUGAGUGCAGAAGGGGAGAGUGGAAUUCCAUGUGUAGCGGUGAAAUGCGUAGAUAUAUGGAGGAACACCGGUGGCGAAAGCGGCUCUCUGGUCUGUAACUGACGCUGAGGCUCGAAAGCGUGGGGAGCAA